UGACGAGUGGCGCACGGGUGCGCAACGCGUAUAGAACCUACCCUGUACGAGGGGGAUAGCCCAGAGAAUUGGAUUAAUACCCGUGGUAAAUAUAAAUGGCAUCGUUUAUAUUUUAAGUUUCGACGGUACAGGAUGGCUAUGCGUCCUAUUAGUUAGAUGGUGAGGUAACGGCUCACCAUGGCAGCGAUAGGUAGGGGCCCUGAGAGGGGGAUCCCCCCACACUGGUACUGAGACACGGCCCAG
rnacentral:rRNA from 1 species